rnacentral:lncRNA from 1 species
GCUCGGAGCCCACCUGGUAGUCCUCAGACUGUGUGUGUGUGUGUGUGUGUGUGUGUGUGUGUGUGUGUGUGUGUGUGUGUGUGUGUGUAAAAGAGAGAAGUUGUGGAGAAAUGGGGGGCUGAUUCUGCUCAGAUUCAUCAGGAUGAGUAGAAGGCACCCAGCUCUCACCCUGGCCUGACAUGUGUGUCCCUGAGCAGGUUACAGUCCUCUCUGAGCCUCUGCUUCCCAUCUGGACCCUGCUGGGCAGGGCUUCUGAGCUCCUUAGCACUAGCAGGAGGGGCUCCAGGGGCCCUCCCUCCAUGGCAGCCAGGACAGGACUCUCAAAUGAGGACAGCAGAGCUCGUGGGGGGCUCCCACGGACCCGCCGUGGGCCCAGGGGAGGCAGAGCCUGAGCCAACAGCAGUGGUGCUGUGGACCGUGGAUCCUGAGGGUGGCCUGGGGCAAGUACCGGCUGAGGGUCCAGGUGGGCUUUGUGUACCUUUGGGUCCUGGGGCCCUGGUGACUUGGACUCCAGGUUAGAGUCAAGUGACAGGAGAAAGGCUGGUGGGGCCCUGUGCUUCCGACUUCAUUUCGAGUGAUGGCAGUUCCCAGGAAGGAAUCCACAGCUGACGGUGGCUGACAGAUCAGAGAAUGGAAGGCGAGGCAGGCGGGCGUCUGCGUGACCUCAGGUGCUUGGGGCCCAGCAGACCCAGAGAACCAUUUCCACUAGGCCAGGGUGCCGGAAGUGUCCACAGGUCUUAGAUUCCCUGUUCAGAUGAAAAGAUUUGUGCCUUUAAUGAUAAAAGUGAUCUGCAUAGAGUCAAAAAUUCAAGCCAUGGGUAUAAAAUGCAAGUAAAAUCCCUGCCCUCACCUAUCCCACCCUACUACACAGAGAUGUCCUCUCGAGUUUCCUAGACUCACUCUGGAAAUUUCUGUAUACACACAGAAGCUUGUGCCUCUGCUCGUGAAGGCAGAGGGAGGGAGAGCUGAAGGGCCAGCACCUUCUCACCUGUGGGCCCCCUCAGUGCUCGGUCCCAGAGCAUGCAGGACUGUGCCUCGUGUUCAGUUUGCUGGUCUGACUUCAUGCUCCUUGGGCAGGAUAUGCAUGUGCCAUGCUAGGAGACAUGUGGAUGUGAAGCUGGGGGACAAUGUCCCCUGGCUAUGCCUUUACAAGGGAAGUAAGGAAGGUAGGAGGUGAGCCUGGGAGGGAGGGAGGGAGGCGCGGAGCCGCCGCAGGUGUUUCUUUUACUGAGUGCAGCCCAUGGCCGCACUCAGGUUUUGCUUUUCACCUUCCCAUCUGUGAAAGAGUGAGCAGGAAAAAG